rfam:Loxodonta africana unplaced genomic scaffold scaffold_3, whole genome shotgun sequence.
GCAAUGGUGGUUCAGUGGUAGAACUCUCACCUUCCAUUCAGGAGGCCUGGGUUCAAUUCCUGGCUAGUGCA